rnacentral:rRNA from 1 species
UACGUAGGGGGCGAGCGUUGUCCGGAUUUAUUGGGCGUAAAGAGCGUGUAGGCGGUUCGGUAAGUCUGUCGUGAAAUCCUGAGGCUCAACCUCGGACGUGCGAUGGAUACUGCCGGGGCUAGAGGAUGGUAGAGGCGAGUGGAAUUCCCGGUGUAGCGGUGAAAUGCGCAGAUAUCGGGAGGAACACCGAUGGCGAAGGCAGUGGUCUGGGCCGAUACUGACGCUGAGGAGCGAAAAGCGUGGGGGAGCGAACAGG